CGAGGAGUGAGAAGGCGACGGCGAGGAGAAAUCCUACGCGUAUAGGCAAAAGUCGGGGAUAAUAAAUAAAUAAUAAUCUUUACUCACAGACAUAUUGAUACAAAGUGAAUAAUUUUAACCCCUCAAUAUUUUACAUGUGGCGUCAAAGUAAAAUACAAGUAUAAUAUGCUAAAAAUCCCGAAGGAUAGAGAUCAAUAAGUUAAAAUAUAAAUGUACAAAAAUAUAGUUUAAUAAGUUAACAUUCAAGUAUAUCACAACAUCACAUUGAAGGACAAACUAUUCAAAAUGGCUUGACCAAAAUUCAUCCAUAGUGUAGUAUGCUUUUUCAUAUAGAAUUUUUUUCAUUUCAUUUUUCAGCUUUUUUUUAUUCAUAAUUUUGAAACAUUCAGGAAUUUUCUUAUAGAUUUGGAUGGCUUCAUGAUUUAAGCUCAGCUGAGUUGCUAACAGCCUGUGUUAUGGAGUUGAAAAUUUCCCUGCAUUUCUCGUAGUAUAAUUGUGGUAUUCCCCAUUUCGGGUCAGUGUGUCUUUGUUGUUGUGAAUGUAUAAUAUACAGGUGAGUAUGUAUAGACAGGUAAGUGUAAGUAUGCGCUCCUGCUGGAAGUAGGUUCUACAGCUUUCAGCUCUCUUUAGUCCACAUAUAAUUCGAAUUGCAUUCUUUUGUUUGACAAACAUCUGGUUUUUUUCAGGUCCACUACCCCAAAAUAGCAGUCCAUAACUGAUGAGGCUGUGAAAAUAUCCAAGUAAGCAUGUUUAGCAGCUUGCUUACCUGCUACCUGUCUUGAUCUUUUAAUUGUGACUCUCUGCGAUUUUUCCUGAAGCUCCUCCUCGGUAGUUGCAACUCUGAGGAAAGAGGUGUCAUCAACAGAAAGAUCCGUGCUGUGUGAAUCUACAUUUGGUGGACUCUCUGCGAUUUUUCCUGAAGCUCCUCCUCGGUAGUUGCAACUCUGAGGAAAGAGGUGUCAUCAACAGAAAGAUCCGUGCUGUGUGAAUCUACAUUUGGUGGUUCCACUGUUCUAUCAAAGCACUGCAACACCUGCCCUCUAUGAUCAGAGAUGUGUGGUUCUAUCGUAUAUGCAACAGGCUUUAUUGUACUGUUGAAAUAAAUAUUAUCUAUCAA